GGUCGGGAGGUCUGGGGAAUACAACACCUUCGGGAAAUACCCAGAGCAGUUCUUGUGGCUGUUUCGAACCUCCUGACCACCCAUUG
rnacentral:ncRNA from 1 species